rnacentral:tRNA from 1 species
GCGCGAGUGGUGGAAUGGCAGACACGCUGGUCUUAGGAACCAGUGUCUUCGGACGUGCGGGUUCGAGUCCCGCCUCGCGCACCG